rnacentral:rRNA from 1 species
ACUCCAGGCCCCAAUGUGGGGGUUACCAAUCUGCCUCGGCGGGAUUCUCUUGC